rnacentral:rRNA from 1 species
UACGUAGGUCCCGAGCGUUGUCCGGAUUUAUUGGGCGUAAAGCGAGCGCAGGUGGUUUAUUAAGUCCGGUGUAAAAGGCAGUGGCUCAACCAUUGUAUGCAUUGGAAACUGGUAGACUUGAGUGCAGGAGAGGAGAGUGGAAUUCCAUGUGUAGCGGUGAAAUGCGUAGAUAUAUGGAGGAACACCGGUGGCGAAGGCGGCCUGCUGGACUGCAACUGACGUUGAGGCCCGAAAGCGUGGGGAGCAAACAGG